rnacentral:rRNA from 1 species
GACGAACGCUGGCGGCGUGCUUAACACAUGCAAGUCGAGCGGAAAGGCCCUUCGGGGUACUCGAGCGGCGAACGGGUGAGUAACACGUGAGUAACCUGCCCCAGACUUUGGGAUAACCCUCGGAAACGGGGGCUAAUACCGGAUACGACACAGCUUCGCAUGGGGUCUGUGUGGAAAGUUUUUCGGUUUGGGAUGGGCUCGCGGCCUAUCAGCUUGUUGGUGGGGUGAUGGCCUACCAAGGCGACGACGGGUAGCCGGCCUGAGAGGGCGACCGGCCACACUGGGACUGAGACACGGCCCAGACUCCUACGGGAGGCAGCAGUGGGGAAUAUUGCACAAUGGGCGGAAGCCUGAUGCAGCGACGCCGCGUGAGGGAGGACGGCCUUCGGGUUGUAAACCUCUUUCAGCAGGGACGAAGCGUAAGUGACGGUACCUGCAGAAGAAGCGCCGGCCAACUACGU